UGAGGUAGGAGGUUGUAUAGUUGAGGAGGACACCCGAGGAGAUGACUAUACGGCCUCCUAGCUUUCC
rnacentral:pre_miRNA from 1 species